UCUGAGAUUGGUUUAUACGAGAUACAUUGGUGAUUCAUGAACAAGAACAAAGCACGUGCACCAUUAAUGCAAGGAUAUCUGAUAAAAUUAAUGUUAAAAAUAAAUAAAAUGAGCCAUGAGAAGGAUGAGUUUAGCCAACAAGAUUUUGUUAAGGUAAGCCACUAACAAGAACUCGAAUCACACUACAAAACAUUGAGAAAGAGAGAGGUGACACGUUGGCCAUGAUUGCUAACCUGUGACUAUAUUAUCAUCAAUAAGCAGAAUGUGUAGAGCAUCCUAUUUUUCUUUGGUUUACAAGAAGGCCGAAGCCCAGACAGAAACUACACCACAACUACUCUGCAGGGCAAGGCAUCAUCCACAGACAAGAUACAUUUGGGGGGAUCAUCUCAAAAAUGUAAUCCUUGAUCCAACUCACAUCCUUUGCGAGCACAGCGGGUGAACAAAGAACAGCUCCCCAAUUCUUUUGUUAUCAUCAGAGA
rnacentral:lncRNA from 1 species